rnacentral:rRNA from 1 species
AGAGUUUGAUCCUGGCUCAGAUUGAACGCUGGCGGCAUGCCUUACACAUGCAAGUCGAACGGUAACAGGUCUUCGGAUGCUGACGAGUGGCGAACGGGUGAGUAAUACAUCGGAACGUGCCCAAUCGUGGGGGAUAACGCAGCGAAAGCUGUGCUAAUACCGCAUACGAUCUACGGAUGAAAGCGGGGGACCUUCGGGCCUCGCGCGAAUGGAGCGGCCGAUGGCAGAUUAGGUAGUUGGUAGGGUAAAAGCCUACCAAGCCGACGAUCUGUAGCUGGUCUGAGAGGACGACCAGCCACACUGGGACUGAGACACGGCCCAGACUCCUACGGGAGGCAGCAGUGGGGAAUUUUGGACAAUGGGCGCAAGCCUGAUCCAGCAAUGCCGCGUGCAGGAUGAAGGCCUUCGGGUUGUAAACUGCUUUUGUACGGAGCGAAAAGGUCUCUUCUAAUACAGGAGGCCCAUGACGUACCGUAAGAAUA